ACAGCAGGGGGCGCCAUUUUACAGCGGAGGCCGCCAUUAGAGGGUGUAACGGACUUGAUGCUGCUCGUCCUCCUGAGGGUGAGGGAUGAGAAGGCAGAAAGCUCAGGGUGGUACAUGGCUGCAGAGGAUACACUGAGUGAGACCAUUGUCCUUCAAAAUUUUCUGGAGAUGAAGUCUUCUGGAGGAAAGCUCUGGGAAAUGUCUAUCCUUCCUGAAUGAGUACUGGCUCCACCUUCGGCUUUCAGCAGUCUGUCAGCCUGUUUGUGGGAAACAAAAAGGUUCCAAUUCUUUUGAAGAGGUAAUAUUUUUACAAUGCAGAACUGCUUUUAAUGAGCUCCGUGGAUUGGAUCCCUGGUUGUUGCACAUCACUGACAUUUGGCAAGUUGAAAUGGUCCAAUGUAAGGGUUAUAUUUGGUGAAAAAAGUGCUACAUCUCAAGAGAUCAGCCCCUCUGUUGGACUGGAUGGGAAUGUGAGGUGUUUAAACUCUGCUUCAAAGAGUAGUUCCAGUGUCUUUUCAAAGGCAGGAGACUAAGUCACAGGGGAGCCCAAUUUCCUAUUUCCAUGCAUUAAGCCAGUAGUUGACCCAGUUCAAAAUUCAAACCUCUUCAUCCCAAAUGAAUAUCCUGCUGACUAUUCCACUGUUUCGUUAUGCACCGUGAGGCAGAAGAAUCGUACUGUUGAUUUCUGUUUGGAACAUAAGUUGGCCAAAAGAGCAAUCAUAAAUUUUAGAAAACCUCGUCCUUCAUUUCUCUGCAAACUUGACUAGUGGGAUCAUUGCAAAGCAGUGAUAGUGAAGUGCUAAAUAUCAGUAACUCUUUGGCUUCUCAUACUUGAGACAUUCGGAUGCUUCUUAACAAUGCAGAUAGAUACUGAAAGCCAAUUUGAAAUUAACAUUUCUAUAAUCAAAUGACUUUAAAUAUACUGCAUCAAUUUUGUGCAUGGUUCCAAAGAGUGCAAUUUAAUGAGAUGUCUGUAGAAUUUUUACUUUUACAGACCAGUAGAGUAACGCUGAUGGACUGCAUCUGCUUCUGCUAUAUUCAUUCUAUCUGACCUACUGAAUAUUUGGCAUUAUUUUCAUGCCUUGUCGCUGUUUGUUUAGGAUAUAGAAGUGUUUUGGAACUGUUGCAUUUGAGAGGAAGGAUCAAGGCAUUUUGAGAAAGACCCAGUUUUGUCUUCACCAGUGACACGUCAUUUUCUGUUGUCACUAUGAGGUAGCAGCUUUGGAGGGCUGUGAGUAUUUGCUCCACAGCUUAUCUCUGUGAACUUGCAGUGCAUUAAAGUAUUUCUCAUACCCACUGUCAACAGUUUAUGGGCUGGUUUGGCCCAGUUCCAUGACUAAUGGGGUUUGGGGACCCAUGGAAUCACACCCCAGGAAAGGGGGAGAGGGGAAAGAGUAGGGAGACGGGCCUAAAAACAAAACAACAGCAACAAUCUGAGGAGAAGAGCUGAUUCACUAAAUACAAUAUAACACAAUAUAAUUAAAAUUGAGGCUAAUAAAUCAGAUAAAAUGAGAGAGUAUCCAAAAACUGAAGGCCAUAUUCUAAUGCUGAAGGUGAGACACCCAGGGAGCACACACACUGCAGAGAUGAGCAGAGGGGAAAAGGGCCAUCUCGUGGCAUGUGAAGAGUUUUAUCUUUCCCUCUGAACGGAAAAUGGAAACACAAAGCCCUCUGGUGGAUGUAGUUCUUCUGAGAACCAGGUACCCAGAGAUAUUGACAAUCCAUGGAACUGGAGCAUUAACUCUUUAACUCCCUAUGCACUACAUGAUGUUAUGAUGUGGAAUAACAAUAACCAAAAAUCAUAAAAACCACGACAAAUGAUGGUAGAUUUGGGUUCUGUUUAUGGGCUCUGAGAGGAAAAGCAUUGCAAAGGUAAGUGCAGAAUUUAGGCGUGUGUAUCUGAAACUGAACUCGCUCAACUACUGCAUAAUCACACAUUGCCUUCACUGUGCUUGUUUGCUUUAAAGCUGCCUACUCUAGAGCCAGCUGCCCAGUUUUGAGACAGCUAAGUAAUGUUAGUGUUUUAGUCAUUCUAGUCAGGAGCAGAGCAAUUGAAUGCUUGUACACCUGAGACCCCUCAGAACUUGAUUCUGCAGCUGCUUCCAAUGCAGACUGCAAUGCACAACAAGCUGCAUCUGGCUUUGGCCAAGCUGCUUGCUCUGGAUCUUUUUUUUUCCACUAUUGAGUUCUGGCCUAGGGGAGAUGUUCUCCCAGAGCUGUUAACAGGUUCUAGGGGAACUUCUGGUAAAGGAAGUCUGAAAUCAGAAAUGAAUUUGUUUUUAUUUGGUCCCUUAUUUGAGCUGUUUGCCUGAAACCCUGUUGUUCCACGAAGAGCUUUGUUUUGCUUGCUAGAAGGCUCUCAGAGUGGGUAGCUUCUUAUGCGUGAAUGUGGGUUGCCCUCUAGUGACCAAAAAAGCUUACUUAGAGCUGCACUGUAAGAACUGCGUCAGUAUGAAUUGUAACAGAUAAAAAAUACUGAAGCCCAUGAUAAAUUAGUUGUAACAGUCCUGCAGUAUGGCUGUCUUCAAGUGCAAAGGAAACAAAUACACUUCAACUUAGUUAAUGACUUGCUUUAAUAAUUUCAGACUGACUGGAAAUAUGUAAAAGGUGUAUCAGUCUGGUUUCCUAGUAUCUGAAAUCCAAGACUGAGCGAUGGUGGAUCCAGUUCAGAACCUCAGUGACUUCUUCAGCAGCAACAGGAAGAACCUGUUAGAUAUGUGCCCAACUACAUACAGCCCAGAGAGUGGGGGAGUGGGUUGUCUGGCUGACUCCUCCUCUUCUUGUACAAGUUCAAUGUCCUGGUAUGUAAAGACAGAUAUUUAAGACCGGAGUGUUCAGUAGUUGCACUAACCUUUCCACAUCAACACUAGAAAGAAACAGGCUCUUUUAGAACACACUUUACCUGACCUACUUCAGAAAGCUGUGUUAAAAAUUAAUCUUAUUGCCAAGUAUGUAUCUCUGCCAUCACUUUUAGUAGACAUAUUUGGCAACACGGCAUCUUCCAGUUUAUAGUAAGUGUGCAUUCAAGUAUCUGGGUUUUGUUUUUCUGAAGGUGACAGCAGGCCUAGAACGGUACAUGCACACUGUCUACAUGGUUCAAGCAAAGGGGAACACACAGGCACAGCAGCAAAAGAAGUCUCAACUAUCACCAUGUGCUGUUCUCUACGAAUGUUAGAAUUAGCACUUUCAGCCUUUAAAUACAGCAACAGAGCCAACUGAGACACCACGGUCCUGAUGCAGGACAAUGGAGUGGACAAAAAGAGGGGCACAGACAUUCAGCAUAUUGCACUGGACUGUUCCGACAAAGCUGUCAACACCCAGAGAGACAAGCUCUCCUAACUGGCACACUGUAACAGGCCAGUUCUGGAAAGCACAAGGAGGAACUCUGAAAACAGUGUUUUGCUUAUUAUUGGGGGCUUGACAGGAUUGCUGUUUUUGCUGUGCACUGUAGUCACAACACUUCUUUUGCUGAAACACAGGAAACCUCCCACUGCUUCAGCUUGCAAGGCACCCAUCAGCUACUGCAGCAGCGGUGGAACUGUGACUGCAUGAUACACACACAGCAGCACUGACAGUUCAGAACUCCAGCCAGUUUCCAGGCUGCUUGUCUUUUAGGACAUAGUUUCAUCCGGAAGCAGACUCUGAAAUCUGGCUCUUGGCUCACUCUGUUACACAGACAAUUGGCUGCUGCUCUGGUUAAAGUGCUGGUUCAUGUAUUGCUUCUAAUCAACAGCUGGUUUUGGUAAGGUUGGUACAUCGAGUUCAUUUACUGGUGAGUGACUUACUUAUAGAAUUUAAACUAGAAUGUCUUGUUAAUGCCGCACUAGAAAAAUAAUGUAUUAAUUUUCAGAUACCGGCAAUAAGAGUUUUCAAACAUGUUCAAACAGAUUUUCUUGUUUUAGAACAGUAUUACCACUUUCCUGUAUUGUACAGUAAUUGCUUACCUUCCUUUGCAGGAAUCCUUGUGUUUGGCCGGAUACCCAGCACCUGCGGAACACAUAUCUACAGCAAAUAUUGUGCUUUGUUUAACUUCUACCUGAAAUAAAGCUGAUGCUAUGGAACUUCA